GACGAACGCUGGCGGCGUGCUUAACACAUGCAAGUCGAACGGAAAGGCCCUGCUUUUGUGGGGUGCUCGAGUGGCGAACGGGUGAGUAACACGUGAGUAACCUGCCCUUGACUUUGGGAUAACUUCAGGAAACUGGGGCUAAUACCGGAUAGGAGCUCCUGCUGCAUGGUGGGGGUUGGAAAGUUUCGGCGGUUGGGGAUGGACUCGCGGCUUAUCAGCUUGUUGGUGGGGUAGUGGCUUACCAAGGCUUUGACGGGUAGCCGGCCUGAGAGGGGGACCGGCCACCUUGGGACUGGGGUACGGCCCAGACUCCUACGGGAGGCAGCAGUGGGGAAUAUUGCACAAUGGGCGGAAGCCUGAUGCAGCAACGCCGCGUGCGGGAUGACGGCCUUCGGGUUGUAAACCGCUUUCGCCUGUGACGAAGCGUGAGUGACGGUAAUGGGUAAAGAAGCACCGGCUAACUACGUG
rnacentral:rRNA from 1 species